rnacentral:lncRNA from 1 species
GGAACUUGUAAAUUUAAACAAAAAUGAUCCAAGACAAUUUUGGCGUAAAAUAGGCAAUAUUGGUAUUGGUAAUGACAGACAAUCGAAAAUUCCAAAUGAGGUGUUGCGAAGUGAUGGAUCCGUUACAAAUAACAUGGACGAUGUUUUACAAAAAUGGAAAGACAGUUUUCAUGGUUUGUUGAAUUCCGAUCCAGAUAACAACAAGAAUUUUGGUGUUGAAAAUUUA